rnacentral:rRNA from 1 species
AUUGAACGCUGGCGGCAGGCUUAACACAUGCAAGUCGAGCGGGGGAGGUUGCUUCGGUAACUGACCUAGCGGCGGACGGGUGAGUAAUGCUUAGGAAUCUGCCUAUUAGUGGGGGACAACAUUCCGAAAGGAAUGCUAAUACCGCAUACGCCCUACGGGGGAAAGCAGGGGAUCUUCGGACCUUGCGCUAAUAGAUGAGCCUAAGUCGGAUUAGCUAGUUGGUGGGGUAAAGGCCUACCAAGGCGACGAUCUGUAGCGGGUCUGAGAGGAUGAUCCGCCACACUGGGACUGAAACACGGCCCAGACUCCUACGGGAGGCAGCAGUGGGGAAUAUUGGACAAUGGGCGGAAGCCUGAUCCAGCCAUGCCGCGUGUGUGAAGAAGGCCUUUUGGUUGUAAAGCACUUUAAGCGAGGAGGAGGCUCUUAAGGUUAAUACCCUUGAUGAGUGGACGUUACUCGCAGAAUAAGCACCGGCUAACUCUGUGCCAGCAGCCGCCGUAACAC